rnacentral:rRNA from 1 species
AGGACGACGCUGGCGGCGUGCCUAACGCAUGCAAGUCGAGCGAGGAGAUUCCUUCGGGAUGAUCCUAGCGGCGGACGGGUGAGUAACACGUGGGCAACCUGCCUCAUAGAGAGGAAUAGCCUUCCGAAAGGGAGAUUAAUACCUUAUAACAUUGCAGUUUCGCAUGGAACAGCAAUUAAAGGAGCAAUCCGCUAUGAGAUGGGCCCGCGGCGCAUUAGCUAGUUGGUGAGGUAACGGCUCACCAAGGCGACGAUGCGUAGCCGACCUGAGAGGGUGAUCGGCCACAUUGGGACUGAGACACGGCCCAGACUCCUACGGGAGGCAGCAGUGGGGAAUAUUGCACAAUGGGGGAAACCCUGAUGCAAGCAACGCCGCGUGAGUGAUGACGGCCUUCGGGUUGUAAAGCUCUGUCUUCAGGGACGAUAAUGACGGUACCUGAGGAGGAAGCCACGGCUAACUACGUGCCAGCCGCAGC